ACAUUCAGAUUCUACACAAUCUCAUGUGUUGGUCUGUCUGUCACCCUCCAACGCUUUGUCCAUCUGCCCCAGAGACCCGUUCCACGCAGACAAAGGGACCUAGAGGGUCUGCGGCAGUCUGUAAAAGUCUUCCUUUAAAUUUGGUAGUGUAUGGAGAAAGAGCUACACUGAAUGGACUCUAGCCAGCCCGAGCAUGUCACGCAUGGCUCUGGUUCUACUGAUUUUUUUCAGUCCCGAGGUUUUCUUUUUAUGAGAAGCCAAGAUCUUCAUGGAGACACCGUUUCUGCUUAACAAAACCAGGAAGAAGAGAAACUUGCAGCAGGGCUUGAAUGUAGCUCAGUGUUAAAGACCCUGCAUAAAGGCCUGGUUUGGUGAGAUUACCAAACUCACAAAAACAGUGAAG
rnacentral:lncRNA from 1 species